ACGCAGAGUUGGGCGGGAUCUGGUCUUUUGUGUCACGUGACGUGCUGGCGGUUGGUGGUCGGAGUGCAUGCGCUGGAUUCGCGAACAUGGAGGAUAGUGGAAGCUCGCGUCCAAUGGCAAACCUCGAUCACCCCCCCAACAGUCGGCUCUUUCUGGUCAUCAGCAAAUCGACAUCGGAGGAGGUGAUCCGAGAGAACUUUUCUUUCUUCGGUGAUAUCCAGGACAUUUGGGUUGUGCGGGACAAACAGAACAAAGAUCACAAGGGCAUCGCGUACGUGAAGUUCGCCAAAUCGUCGCAGGCCUGUAGAGCGAUGGAGGAGAUGCACGGCAAGGCCUUAACGGAGGACACCAAACCCAUCAAGGUCUUCAUUGCACAGUCUAGAGGAUCUGGCAGCCACCGUGAUGUUGAAGAUGAAGAGUUGACGAGAAUUUUUGUCAUGAUUCCAAAAUCCUAUACAGAAGAUGAUCUGAGGGAAAACUUUAAGGAAUUUGGAGAUAUUGAAUAUUGUAGUGUUAUCAAGAACAAGGGCACAGGAGAGAGCAAAGGCUUUGGCUAUGUGAGGUUUCUGAAACCAUCUCAGGCUGCUCAGGCCAUUGAAAACUGCGAACGAUCUUUUAAGGCAAUACUUGCUGAACCAAGAAACAAACCUGCAUACUCUGAGAAUGACUACAUGAGUGGAACUAGACAAGAUCCUUUGCCUUAUGGAUCAGGAUAUGAUCCUCCCCGAGGUCAAACUGUGUUUCCGUUUGGUGAAUUCACCAACUUUGGAACAAGUGAAAUGAGAGGUGGUGAAAUGAGAGCUGAAAUUAGAAAUGAAAUGAGAGGCGGAGAAAAUAUAUCCGCAUGUCUUUCAGUAUCUACUAGAGGAGUGCUCACUCACGAACAAGUUUAUAGUCUGUUUGAUAUUAUCCCAGGACUGGAAUAUUGUGAAAUUCAGAGAGAUCCCUAUAUGGGUUAUGGCAAAGGAUAUGCUCUUGUUCGGUACAACAAUGUGGCAUCAGCAGUAUAUGCCAAAGAAAAGCUUCAUGGAUUUGAGUAUCCACCUGGUAAUCGACUUGGAGUAAGUUACAUUGAAAGUGAUUCUGGUGAUAGACGACCAAACCCAGUUGGAAUGAUGGCCUUACAACUUGUGGCGGCUCAGAUGAUGACACUGGCCUGUAAUAGUCCUAUUGGUCAACAGAUAAUUCCAGCUUCACCUGGAUAUGGAGGAAGCAGUAAUACGCAGAUGUCUCGGUUGCAGGUUGACUUUUCUUUGCCUGCACCUCAAAACUUUGCUGCUUCUGAUAGUACUGUCAGAGAAAGACUAUUUGUGGUCUUCAACCCAACUGUCCUGCCCCUUGAUAUAUUGGAGGACCUGUUUUGUCGUUUUGGAAAUCUGAUUGAAGUAUAUUUGGUACCAGGACGUAACAUUGGCUAUGUUAAAUAUGCUGAAAGACACAGUGCUACUAAUGCCAUGGAAACUUUACAUGGAAAGGUUGUUAAUGGUAUCAAGCUCAAAGUAAUGCUUGCUGAUCCUCCAAGAGAAGAGUCACAUAAGCGACAACGAACACACUAAGAUGUUCCACAAAAGAUUGUGCAAAGAAUAGCAGGAAGGCAGAUGAAAGCCUCAAUGAAGGUAUGUAUAAUUGUGAAAACAUUGAGUUAACAGUGUGGUGGUAACAUGCACUGUACUGAGUGCCCUGUUCAUCUGAUAUUUCCUGUGGUUACAUGCAGAGUUAUGAUUCAUAUUCAAGGUCACCGAGGCCCUUCUGCAUUGCAGCACGCCUCAGUCUGUCUCAAUUCUACUUCUCUUCUUAUUGUCAAGUGGAUCCCAGGUAGAUGAUGGCAGAGAAGCUUAUGGUGAAGCAAAGCAAGUGAGAGAUGUUUCCAAAGCAGAGUAGAAGAAAUGCACAUUCCACAGAUUUGCAGUAUUAAGUAAGUUUACAAAGUUGGGAAAAUAUGACAUCAUGAACACAAAGGUGAGAACCUUAAUAUUGAGGCAUUGGAAUUGGAGCUAAUAUAGAUCAUCAAGCAUGGGGCUAAUGGACAAAUGGAAUUUUGUUUGAGGCACGAUUUUGGAUGGGUUAAAAUGAAUGCAGUAUGAAAGAUGGAAGGCCAAUGUGGAAUAGCUUUGAAAUAGUUGGACAUAGGAUUGAUCAACAUGAAUGAGAGCUUCGUCAACAGAUGGGGAAGAAAAACGACAAGUGACAUCAUGAAAAUCGAAGUAGAUCUUUGUCAUGCAGAAGAUGUGGGAUUAGAAGCUCUGUCUUUGAGCUAAACAGAAUAGUGAGCUUGUGAACAUUUGAUUUCGCCUCAGAUGCCACUAUGCUGGAUGCAGCUAUUGGUUAGGGAACAGAGUUUGUGAUGUGUAUUGCUAGGGAAGAUGGCUGCAAAAAUUUGGUUUCCCACUGAUCUCGUAAACAUUCCCACAAAACGAUUUUGGGGAAAUAUGAGAAUGGUGAGGUAAACUAGCUUUCAACAGGGUACCUAUGGGAUUUAACUUGUCUUUAUAUAUGUUGCAUGCAGUUGAAAAAUGGGAAGACACCAAGGAGCAAUCCUAGCGGACUUCCAAAGGUAACUAGAGAAGUCAUUGCAGGUGAUCUUUUGUCUAUGACUGAACAGGUAAGGAUGAAACCAGGAAAGGACAAUCUCACUAAAGUGGAUAUAUAUGAAUGUAUGAAUUAGGAGCAGGUGUGGGAAGCUGUGCUUCAUCAAGUCUGUUCCACCAUUUAAUAAGAUUGUGGCUGAUCUGACUACUCCACAGAAGGCACCAGUGAGAAGUAACUUAUGUGAGAAGUCACCACCACUGAGAAGGGGAUCGUGGAAGAUUUGGUGCUCAGCAGCAGGAAGAGCAUCCAACAGAUGGUGUCAGUGAGACGCGAUCAAGGUGGAUUCUGGGAGAAGUCAGUGCAGUCUGCUAGUUUCAAGUAGCAGCCCUACCUUGAUCAGCAGCUGGGCACCAAAUCAGAGAGGCCAGAGGGGGGAGACCGCAACCAGAGCAGGUAAAAACUUGAGUGCAGGACAUUUCGGGCCUAGUUUUGAGUGGUAACAUUACCUUAAUCACAGGGAUAUCAUGGGAGCUGCACUUUGGACACCACAAGUUGAAAAGUGACAUUUUGGACAGAAGGGCUCCUGAUUGGUAAGUAGUGGUCAGGUGAUUCCUUUAUUUCUUGUCUUCAAUUUCCAUUAACCUUUUCAUACUCAUAAGGUUUUAGAAUAGUGUGAUUUAGGCUGUUGGUAGAGUAGUACCUAGAUUGUUGUUUACAGGAUAGUGUAUUUAGUAAUUCUUAGUGAGAAUCUAACAUUAUGGACCAUCUAGUUAGCUGUAGAUUAAUUGAAUUUUACUUCUAAUUAAAUAGCUGCUAGAAGGUAAAAAUUGGAGUCAAUGGGGUAAUAUGCUUCUCAUGCAAAAAGUGGAAAAUCAGACUGUUGGAACAUCCCUGACGUCUACAGCUGCAGGAAGUAUGUCCAGUCGCAUUUCCUGUCAGACCUCGUGGAUUAGUUGGACACAUUUAAGAGCAUGCAGGAGGAGGAAAGUGUCACAGACAGGAGUUUUAGAGAUGUGACCACACCCAAGGUUCAGGCAGAUAGAUGGGUGACCACUAGAAGGGGCAGGCAGACAGUGCACGAGUCCCCUGUGGCUAUCCCUCUCUCUGACAAGUUUUGGAUGCUGUUGGGAAGAUUGCCUGUCAGGGGAUGGUGAUAGUAGCAACCAGAGCAUUGAUAUAACAGCUGGCUCUGUUGUACAGCAAGGAGGGUCAAACUGCAGAAGAGUUGUAGUCAGGGGCACAGAUAGCUAUUUGUGGCGACAAAAGAGGUGGUACGUUGGUUCAAGGAUGUCUCUGAGCGAGUACAGGACAUUCUCAAAAGGGAGGGUGAACGCCAGAAGUCAUGGAAUGUGUUGGUACUAAUGAUAUAGGCAGGAAUAGAGAUAUGGUCCUGCAGAGGGAGUUCAGGUUUUUAAAUAGUAAGUUGAAAAGCAGGACCUCUAGGGUUGUAAUCUCAGCAUUACUCCCUUUGCCACAUGCUAGUGGAGCUAGGAAUAGGAAGAUAGUACAGUUUAAAAAUGUGGCUAAAGAGCUGGUGUAUGAGAGAGGGCUUAGAUAUGUGGAUUAUUGGGAUGUCUUCCAGGGCAGGUGGGACCUGUACAGAAAAACAGGUUGUGCCUAAACUGAGGGGUACCAAUAUCUUUGCAGGGAGGUUUGCUGGUUUACUUGAGAAGGUUAAAACUAGUGCGGUGGAGGUGGCAGCCAGAGCAGUUGGUCAGCAAGUGAAAUUCCCAAGGAGGAGUUAGAGAUUAAAGCCAGUAAGGCUAAGAGGAAGAACAGACAGGCAGAGGUUACUGAACAUGGAAAGUCUGGCAGUCUGAAGUGUAUUUAUUUUAAUGCGAGGAGUAUGACAGGUAAGGCAGAUGAAUUUAGAGCUUGGAUUAGUGCACUUAACUACAAUGUAGUUAUUACAGAGACUUGGUUGAGAGAAGGGCAAGACUGGCAGCUUAAUGUUCCAGGAUUUAGAUGUUUCUAAACAUUUUUCUAUGUUUAGAGAUAGCGAGGGACGUAAAUGACAUUGGGCAGUUGUGUUGUCGAUUAGGGAGAAUAUCACAGCUAUGCUGAGGGAGGACACCUGGGAGAGCUCAUCCAGCAAGGCAUAAUGGGUCGAGUUCAGCAAUAGGAUGGUGCAAUUACUUUGGUGAUGUACUGCAGGCCUCCCAACAGCCAGCAGGAAAUGGAGGAACAGAUGUGUGGACAGAUUAUGGAAAAAUGUAAAAGCCACAGGGUGGUUGUGGUGAGAAAUUUUUACUUUCCCUAUACUGAUUGGGACUUCCUUAGUACCUGGGGCUUGGGGAGGAUUUAUUACGUGCGUUCAGGAGGGUUUCUUGAAGCAAUAUGUAAAUAGUCCAGCUAGUGAAGGGGCAUUUUAGACCUGGCACUGGGGAAUGGGGCUAGCCAGGUGGCCUAAAUUUCGUUGACUUUAGGAACAGUGACCUUAAUUCUACAAGUUAAGUUACUUAUGGAUAAGGAUAAUAGUAGUUCAGUACUAAAUUGGGGGAAGGCUAACUAUCACAAUUUAGGCAGAAACUGGGGAAUGCAGAUUGAGGGGUGUUUGAGGGUAAAUCCACAUCUGGCAUGUGGGAAUCUUUUUAAAGACCAGUUGAUUGAGUUCAGAAAUCAGUACGUUCCUGUUAAAAUGAAGAAUAAGGAUGGCAAGAUUUGAGAAUCUUGGAUGACAAGAGAAAUUAUGUGCUCAGAAAGAAAAAGGUGGCAUAUGUAUGGCUUAGGAACUUGAAGACAGAAAAAUAUAAAUAAAGCAGGAAAGAGCUUGAAUAAGGAGUUAGGAGGACUAAAAUGGGCCAAGAAAUGAUCUUGGCAAAUAGGAUUAAGGAAAAUCCCAAGGCAUUUUAUAUGUACAUGGGGAGCAAGAGGGGUAGCUAGGUAAAGAGUAGGUCUACUCAAUGACAAAGGACAAAAUUUAUGCAUGCAGUCAGAGGAAGUGGGUGAACUACGUAAUGGAUAUUUUACAUCUGUAUUCACAAAGGAGAAGGACAUGAUGGAGGGUGAGUCUAGGGAAUGGUGUGUUGAUAUUCUAGAUGUUCUCCUGUUCUCCUGUUUUCAAUUUCAAUUCAUCUAACAUUUAUUUGCUUUAACACAUUUGCUUUAUAUCCCUGCUAAUCUAUCUUGUUCUUAUGUCUUGGAAUAUGGCCAAUGCAACAUUUGUUUCUUUUUUCCUGAUGAUAUGCCAAAGUUAUCUCUCCGCCUUCACCAUCCUGAGAACUUCAUUGUUAUUGACUCACUCCUUUCUUCAGAACCACAUUUCAAAACUUUAUGUUCAGCAUAAGAAUGGUUAAAAGUCUUCAGAAGAGAAUAAUCAGGAUUGAGAUUUGAAGUUGCUCAUUGUAUAGUGCUGACACGUGGAUCUUAAGAAAAUUAGAUAUCCUGACAUUGAAUGGGUAGGAUUAUGCUGAAAAAAAUUUAUAAAUGGCCUUUGUGUGAAGCAGACUUGUUUGGUUGAUGACUUUUUUAAAUUCUCCCCAUGUAUUCUCACGUCUUCAUCUUUCUGUUCUGACAUAAUUUUGUAGCUAUGAAGCAAGAGUUAAACAUGAUAAAACAGUAAAAUCUAUAUGUAAGCACCAAGACAUAAAACAGUUGAUGCUCUGUUACCAAAGCAGAUAUAGGGAGGAAGCUGUCUUCUAUUGCUGUUUCAGCAGAAGCAUCAUAGAGUCAUUGAACAUACAGAUUGUUCAGGAAUAGCCUCAGAAGUUCCAGUUUAUGAUCAGAACAGAGGUGAUACUUGUAUUGCAACAACCCUAAAUAUUUAUAAAACUCAACAUUUGAAGUUCCUCAGUGAGGACAUAAGGUGCUUAAAAAAUUAACUUGAAUCUGUUAAUGAUGCAAUAAUCGAUUACUUUAAUUUAGAUAUUUUCUCAGAACAAAAUAGGGAAAAUGAAGACCACAGAGUUAGAACAUCUAAGGAAGGCUUGAAAAGUCCAGAAGGAAAUUAUACGUAGGAUGCAAAAUUCUGUAUCAAUAAAGAAACAUUGUUUAGCCAGUUGAAACCUACAAAGAAUCAUUGAUAGAUGAAAUAAAACAUGAAGGUGUUUGUCAAUUUUAUAAGUCUUUUGACUACUUAAGUAAUCAGGCAGAUAAAAAAAGCAACGUAGAACAGAAAGGUUUAGGCCUUUGAGCUUAGUGCUGAAGAAACAACAGUUAAUAGAGAAAGAGAGUAUUACAAAUGGGAGCAAAUGAAGACUUGAACUCAUUCGUUAGAUAUGUAAAACUGUCCAUUGACACGUUUAAGAUUUUAUUCUAUCUUGCAUUUUAAUAAAUGGAACAUCUUAAAUUAUUUCUGUUUAGAUUUUGUUUCACUUCAUGUACUUUUGCAAUUACAUUUUGUCACCAAUUACUUUUUUGGUUAAGUUUUGCUGCAAUAAAAUACCUGUUUUCAUACACACCCAAAGGAUGACCUGAAGUUCUUUGUCACUGUUCUGUAGGCCUAUAUGGAACUUAUUUUACAUAUAAGAAACAAUUAGAUAAUUAGCUAAUCUGAUAAAUUUCCAGUUGAAGGCAAAAACCCUACAAUAAUUUAAGAAUCAAUUGAUACCACAAUGGAUGGAUGAAUUAAAUUGGCUCGGGGGUUCUUCCUCAUCCAUCCUCAUCUUGUGACCUGUAAGGUAUAUGUAACAGCAUGCCUAAGAGAUUUGGUUAAAGUGUUCUUAUUCCCACACUUUUUAGGAACAUGAACAUAAAGGAUAAAAUGUUAACAUUUACUGACUUCAAAUUACAGCUACAGAAAGUACUGUGAUGGAGAAAGGAAAUGUACACUAAAUUAUAAAAUUCCCAGCGGCAUACAAGAAUGGAGAUUUGGAUGUGCAUGUAUCAUUUUUCAAUAAAGUCACUAUUUUGAUGUUGAACGUACACAAGAACUGAGAUGUGUGGUUAGAGCCGCAAAAAUAGUUCCUUCAAACUGAAAUCAAUUGACACAGCAGAAAAUGCAAGAAAUUGUGGAUGUAAUCAUUUCGUAUAUCCUGAAUGGCGGCAAAGGAUACUCCAAAGACAUGAUAGCAAGUCAAGACAGGAAGGCAUAACAUUUUUACAUAGUUGUCAAUAAUUUUGAUGACCAAAAGAAGUUAGUCUGCUGACUAUGAUAGAUACCAAAAAGGCAAGAAUGAACAAUAAUGAGCACAUCCAUGUACUCUGUCAUCAUGCAUGUUUAGAGCUUUGGGAUUGCAUUACAAUCACUAAAUUAGAAGAAAAGGAAGGAUCUGUGAUCUUGACAGCAGAAGCCAAAAGGAAGGAUUUAAUUGAAAACUAGGGGGAACUUAAAAUAAGCCCAAGCCUGGAUAUUGUCCAGAUCUUGUUGCAUUUGAACAUGGACUGCUUCAAUAUCAGAGGAGUUGUGAAUGGUGCUGAACAUUGUGCAAUCAUUGGUGAACAUCUCCAUUUCUGACCUUAUGAUGAAGGGAAAGUCAUUGAUGAAGCAGCUAAAGAUAGUUGGGCCUAGGACACUACCCUGAGGAACUCCUGCAGAGAUGUCCUGGAGCUGAGAUGACUGACCUCCAACAACCACGUCUAUCUUACUAUGUCUCAGAUUUGGAUGGAUUUAGAACAUUUGCAGUGGACCGGUUCAGGAAUGCGAUGGUGGGGUAUAGCUGGGUAGUAGUAAACAUUUCGGGAAGCCAACUCCCUGACUGGAUGAUGGUGGCUGAUACAACUGCAGAUGUAAAUUAAAUGACUGGAGAGAGGAAGAGCGAACCAUGGAAUUCCACCCUUACAGACACAAAGGGAACUUCAAACAACAGCCCUUCAAAGGUUUAAAGAGUUCUAGAAGACAGCUAGCUCGAAGCCAGACUAGAGGAAAACGGGACAAUGCACAGACUCUCUCUCGUCCUGAAAAUCAUUGAUGGUCAAAAGGGAUCAGAACUAUAGAAUCUCAACGAAUCUCCAAAACUAAGGACUGUGAGGCUGACUUUUCAACCACUAAUAUCAAUGUUACUGCUAAUCUCAAUUACUACUACCGCAAUGUUCAACCAUCUAAUCCGGUUUUUUUAAAUAUUUAUCUUUAUGGACUCCCCUCUUAUUUCUAAUAUGUGUAUAUGUAUUGCAUUUCUAGUUCUUCAUACAUAUAGCAAUUAAUAAAUUCACUUUUUUGUAAAUUCAAGAAAACCUGAUUAAAUUAGCUCCUUGUAAAACAUAAGUUAAUGUGGUUUGGGAGAAAGGCAUUCACAAGGGAAAGAAUCAUUUUAUCAUAAAUUUGUUGCAACUAGUAGAGGAAGUAGCCAAAAGGGGAGCCAGUUCAUCUCUCUUCUGCCAGGAGCUUAACAAUUCCUGCCUGGUAUCAUAUGAACUGGAGAAACUUGCUCUCUUGUGUAUUAUCAGAGGAAACCACAAAGGAUAAUCAUAUCUGUCAUGGGGAAAACCAAUGAAUAAAUCUUAUUGCUUGAAUUGACACAAUUCCUUUGUAAGCCAGCAAGUGCCUAUGAAUAAUGAGAUAAAAAGGGGAUGAAAAUGAGUUGAAACAAAUUUAAAUAUUCCUAAGUACUAAUGAUUAACUACACUGUUUUGGUUUAGUUUUAAAUUGUUAACAUUAUUAAAGCAUUUUAUAACCCAACUGUCUUUUAAUGUAUUGUGUACAAAUAUGUCAGUUUACGCUAUCAUUUAAAUUUUCAAGCUGAUAGGAAUUGUGUAAAAGUAGCUUGUUAAUUCUCAUUUUCCAGUGUUUGGAGUUACCCACCAUUUUGUAUCAAUGUACAUGUGGUAAAUGUCAAUUCGGAAUGUAUCUGUAAAUGUGAUUCUUAAUUUAUUCUCCUUUACAGAUCAUGGAAAUUGAUUGAAGACUAGGAAAUAAGAGUGGUGAUUUUCAACAUAUCAAAUCCUUUAGAAUGAUGUAUAAUUUUAUUGCACUCAAUUAUCAAGUUAUUACUUCCAUUUUCUUUUUGUCAGCAUUUGUGUUCAUGCUGUUUCAAAGAACAGCCAAAUUCUUGUAAAAGAAGCACACUCAUAUUCUGAUGAAGGGUCUAGGCCCGAAACGUCAGCUUUUCUGCUCCUAUGAUGCUGCUUGGCCUGCUAUGUUCAUCCAGCUCUGCACCUUGUUGUCUCGGAUUCUCCAGCAUCUGCAGUUCCUACUAUCUCUCUCACAUUCAUAUUCUAUUGCAGAUAUGUCAAUAAUAUCAAGAUGAAAGAUCUGGCAUCAUAUUAGGAAGUAUUCACAGCCAAAUGCCAAGGUAGCCAAGGUAGGCCAAAUGCUCAAUUCUUAUGAUUAUGCUUCACAUGAACUUCCUCCCACACUUCUUCAUCUAACUCCAUUAAGAUCUGAUUCCAUUUCAUUUUUUUAAAAAAAUGAGGACUUGGGAGAGCUAGCAGCAGCUGUGAUAAUGUAAUUAUGCAUCUUCCAUACCUACAGCAGAGGGUAGGGGAUUUCUGGAGGAGUCAACAAAAAUAAAAAAAAUCUAAAUUUGCUCUGAAAUUAAACAUUAAGUACAACUAGAUAUCCAAAAUCCUGAAGUAAAGUGUUUCUUUCCUGAACUUCAGCAUGAUUCUGUCAAACCAUAGUUUGUGGUUUCAUCUGUUAUGUAUGAUGGUAUCUUCAACUCAGAGUAUAGGUGCUUUGGGAGCUAAGCUCAUUUUUAAUUAGCAAACUUCAGUUAUGCUACCAUAAUUAUAUUUUUAUUUGUAGUCAACAAAUAACAAACAACAAUACAGCACGGGAACAGGCCCUUUGAACAUCCAAGCCUGCGCCAACAAGUUUUGCC